CCGUCCUCUUGUGCUGAGUCAGUUCUUGAGUGGGAGCCACAAGAUCAGAUGAGACAGUUUAUCCAUCUGGGCGGUGCCAGCUGAUCCAUCAAGUGCAGGUCUCUAGGAGGAGCAGUCUCUCCCUAGACAGCAAGGCCCCAGAUGUCAAAACAUCAGAUAGAGAAACUAGAAAAUGUGGUUAAUACAAUAGGAUUUGAUCUCGUGUUGGAGGAAUUCGGGAUGGCUCAAGAAAAGUGGGUGCUCAGCAUUGAAUGUUAUCAAGACACAAGAUGAUUCUCUGAGGAAAUUGAGGCUCAGAAAAAUUAAGCUCCUUGACUAAGGUCACAAAGCCACAAGUAGAUGCUUUGUUCCCAGCUACUUCAUGAUUCUACUUCCUCUCUGCUAUAAAGGUUCCUUCUGAAACUAUGGCUGAAGAUAGGAGGAAAAGCUACACUGAGC